UUAAAUGGCCGCGGUAUUUUGACCGUGCUAAGGUAGCAUAAUCAUUAGUUUUUUAAUUGGAAGCUGGAAUGAAGGGUUUGAUGAAAAAAUAACUGUCUCUAAAUAAUUUUAUUAGAAUUUUAUUUUUAAGUUAAAAAGCUUAAAUAUUUUUAAAAGACGAGAAGACCCUAUAGAGUUUAAUAAAAAAAAUUAAGUUUUUAAAUUUAGAAUUUAGUUUAAUUUUAAUUUAAUUUAUUAAGUUGGGGUGAUUAAAAAAUUUGAUAAACUUUUUUUAUAUUAUUAUAUUAAUUCAUAAAUUUUUGAUCCAAUUGUAUUGAUUAUAAGAAAAAAUUACCUUAGGGAUAACAGCGUAAUCUUAUUAGAGAGAU
rnacentral:rRNA from 1 species